CUGAUGCCUUUGACGAUGCAACCCAGGCAAAUAUUUGCUUACUAUUCUCACAAAUUCUAUAAUUCAUCAAACUUAAUUAAAUGGUUAGAAUCUGACAAUUUUGCACCAAUCUUGACCGCGUGUUCUGUUUUAAUGAGCGGGCUCGGAGGUGCUCCAGCUGCUGUCAUGGUUCGUUCACUGAACUGCAUCGUCGCUGUGUCCCAGAACAUGGGCAUCGGCAAGAACGGGGACCUGCCCUGGCCGCGGCUCAGGAAUGAAUUCAGAUAUUUCCAGAGAAUGACCACAACCUCUUCAGUAGAAGGUAAACAGAAUCUGGUGAUUAUGGGUAAGAAGACUUGGUUCUCCAUUCCUGAGAAGAAUUGACCUUUAAAGGGUAGAAUUAAUUUAGUUCUCAGCAGAGAACUCAAGGAACCUCCACAAGGAGCUCAUUUUCUUGCCAGAAGUCUGGAUGAUGCCUUAAAACUUACUGAACUACCAGAAUUAGUAAAUAAAGUAGACAUGAUUUGGAUAGUUGGUGGCAGUUCUGUUUAUAAGGAAGCCAUGAAUCACCCAGGCCAUCUUAAACUAUUUGUGACAAGGAUCAUGCAAGACUUUGAAAGUGGCACCUUUCUUCCAGAAGUUGAUUUGGAGAAAUAUAAACUUCUACCAGAAUACCUAGGUGUUCUCUCUGAUGUCCAGGAGGAGAAAGGCAUUAAGUACAAAUUUGAAGUGUAUGAGAAGAAUGAUUAAUAUGAAGGUGUUUUCUGGUUUAAAUUGUUCCCCCUCCCUCUCAAAAAAGUAUGUAUUUUUACAUUAGAAAAAAAGUAUUUUGUUGACUUUAGAUCUAUAAUUAUUUCUAAGCCACUUUUUAUUCCCCACUUGACUCUAUCAGAUACCACUUAUGAAACAUUCUUGCUAUAAAUAAGUGCUUCUCCAAGACCCCGACUGAGUCCCCAGCACCUGCUACAGUGAGCUGCCUUUCCACACUCAUCGCAUGUGACACUCUUGCCAGUCCUUGACAUUGUCGGGCUUUUCAGAUGUUGGUAAUAUUUAUUAAAGGUGAAGAUCCACAUACCCUUCAACUGAGCAGUUUCGCUAGUGGAAAUACCAAAAGCUUCCUACGUGUAUAUCCAGAGGUUUGUAGAUAAAUGUUGCAGCCUUGUUUGUAACAAUGAAAAAUUGAAAACAACCUGGAAGUCCAGUGAUGGGAAAAUGAGUAUGUUUCUGUCUUAGAUUGGGGAACCCAAAGUAGAUUCCAAGACUGAAAUUUCAGUGAAAGCAGUUUAUUUGCUCGGUCAUACCAGAAACCAUCGGUUAAGGUAUGGAAAAACUGAACUGAGAAGGUAAGAAAACCAGUUUAAAGUCAGCGAGCAGGUUCUCACUGGUAACAAGUUCCAUAUUGCUGAGAUACAGGGAAAUGGAGGGGAGAAAACUAGAGUAUUGAUUCCUCUCUCUCCUUGGUUGUCAGCUCCCGGUCCUGUGUGUGGGCGGAACGUACUCCAGCUGCUCUAUAGUAAGUCCCAGGUGUUUGCAGUAAGAAGCUGAUGGCAUGCACGGGAACAGCGAAUGCCAAACACUUAAAGCAAUUCCAUGUUUAAGUAUGUAA